rnacentral:misc_RNA from 1 species
GUAGGUGAACCUGCGGAAGGAUCAUUAACAAAUCCAGUUGGAAGGUUGGAGAGGGGGAGAUGGAUGGGAAGGAGGGAGGAGGAGGGAGAGAGAUGUGGAAGAAGGAGCGAUCCUGAAAUCUAUUCUCGUCAUUCUCUGUCGCUUACCUUGUCUAUCUCAAUUCCCCCUACCCACCAAUUCACAUAUUCACCCGAGCAAUCGAGAGAUUGCUAUGGGACCGUGAGUGAGAGUGAGGGAGAGAUAUAUUUGA